UACAGAGGGUGCAAGCGUUAAUCGGAAUUACUGGGCGUAAAGCGUGCGUAGACGGUUACAUAAGUCGGGUGUGAAAGCCCCGGGCUCAACCUGGGAAUUGCAUUCGAGACUGCGUAGCUAGGGUGCGGAAGAGGGAAGCGGAAUUUCCGGUGUAGCGGUGAAAUGCGUAGAUAUCGGAAGGAACACCAGUGGCGAAAGCGGCUUCCUGGUCCAGCACCGACGUUCAGGCACGAAAGCGUGGG
rnacentral:rRNA from 1 species